UACAGAGGCCUCGAGCGUUGUUCGGAAUUACUGGGCGUAAAGGGAAUGUAGGUGGUGACGUAAGUCAGAUGUGAAAGCCCUGGGCUUAACCUGGGAAGUGCAUUUGAUACUGCGUUGCUUGAGUACGAGAGAGGAAAGCGGAAUUCCAAGUGUAGGAGUGAAAUCCGUAGAUAUUUGGAGGAAUACCGAUGGCGAAGGCAGCUUUCUGGUUCGUAACUGACACUGGGAUUCGAAAGCGUGGGUAGCAAACAGG
rnacentral:rRNA from 1 species